rnacentral:lncRNA from 1 species
GCUUUGGGCAGUAUUGCCAUCUGAAAUGGUAGGUUGCUUGAUAGUGCUGUUAUUUCUAUCAUUUCAGAUAUUAAUUAUUAUUUUUAACAUUUCCGUAUUUAAAAUAAACAUGAAUAAAAUGACAUGGGAAAUGUCGUCUUUGAAAGAAAACAGUUGCAGAGCCAGUCCGUGAGAAUAGAAGCUAGACAAACAUCAAAAACGUCAUCCAAGUUGGAUGAUAUAAAUAAUGAAUUAAAUUUUGAAAAAGACAAGACAUACAUGGAAGAGGAUAGACACAGUAGAGGAGAGAAGACAGGUCAGCAGAGAAGUACCUUUGAUAGUAGGAAAGCAGCUCAUC